rnacentral:rRNA from 1 species
AUUGAACGCUGGCGGCAUGCCUUACACAUGCAAGUCGAACGGCAGCAUGGAGGAGCUUGCUCCUCUGAUGGCGAGUGGCGAACGGGUGAGUAAAGCAUCGGAACGUACCGUGUAGUGGGGGAUAACGUAGCGAAAGUUACGCUAAUACCGCAUACGCACUGAGGUGGAAAGCAGGGGAUCGCAAGACCUUGCGCUAUACGAGCGGCCGAUGUCAGAUUAGCUAGUUGGUAGGGUAAAGGCCUACCAAGGCGACGAUCUGUAGCGGGUCUGAGAGGAUGAUCCGCCACACUGGGACUGAGACACGGCCCAGACUCCUACGGGAGGCAGCAGUGGGGAAUUUUGGACAAUGGGGGAAACCCUGAUCCAGCAA